UUCCCGCCUGCGCCUCUCCCUCCACACCUCCCGGCAAGCUGUGGGAGCCGGCUCCGGCCUUGGCCAGCCCAGAAAGGGGAUCCUACAGUGCAGCGGGGGGCUGAAGGGCUCCUCAAGCGCGGCCAGAGUGGGCGCCAAGGCCGAGGAGGCGCCGAGAGCGAGUGAGGGCUGCUAGGGCCGCCAGCAUGCUGUCACCUCUCAUAAUGGGUUUCUGGACAGUGUUGUUAACAAUUCAUGGCGUGUGUUUCUGUGUCGGAGGCAGGAGGGAGCUGAAAAGAUGCAGUUUUAUCUCCAAAGGAAAGAUGGAUGUUGAAUAAAUGGAUAAAUGGUGCCUAAACUGUGACAACAUCACAUUGUUCCAAAUCACUCCAACUGUGUGGGAUCUGAGCACACCCGACGAGGUUUUGCCAUGUUGCCCAAGCUGAUCUCGAACUUCUUGGCUCAAGUGAUCUGCCUGCCUUCCAAAGUGCUGGGAUUACAGGCAUGAGCCACCAAGCGCAGCCAUGAUUUAUUAGAUCACUUCUAAAAGCGCUCUCUCCAUCUCCAAGCCAGCAAGUGCUUCUUUGCACCCCAGCUCUAAAACAAAGCCCUUGGGGACACAAUCAAAGACAGUAGUUGCCAAGAGGAAUAGGGAGCAUGGAAAGAAGGUGAGAUAUUGUUGGCCUUAACAGCGGUGCUGGAUGUGCAUACAGCUAACCUGGUAACUCCAAACUGGAUGAGCUCAUUCCUUGAGACUGGAAUUACAAAAUUGGAACAGCUCACUAAUAAUUGAAGAUGAUUUGGGAAAACCAUUAUCCUUCCUCAGGUUUUACAAGGUUUUUAUGACUCAUUUAUAAGGUCCUACAGCUAAAAAAAAUCAUGCUGUAUUUCAGAGAAGUUUAACUUGAAAAUAUUUUUUUCACUAAUUAAAAAGAACCUGUGACAAAUGAAAAUGGUUUUC
rnacentral:lncRNA from 1 species